AGCGAACGCUGGCGGUAGGCCUAACACAUGCAAGUCGAACGGAAGCACAGUACGAGCUUGCUCUUACGGGAGGCGAGUGGUGGACGGGUGAGGAACACAUCUGAAUCUUCUUUUUAGUGGGGGAUAACGUAGGGAAACUUACGCAAAUACCCUAUACGACAUACGGGUGAAAGCAGGGGAUUUUCGGACCUUGUGCGCUCGAAUCAUACGAUGUCGGUUUAGCUAGUUGGCGGGGUCAAGGCCCACCAAGGCGACGAUCCGUAGCUGGUCUGAGAGGAUGAGCAGCCACACUGAGACUGAGACACGGUCCAGAGGCCUACGGAAAGCAGCAGUGGGGAAUAGGGGGGAAGGGGCGCAAACCUGGCACAGCCGGACCGCGUGUGAUGAGAAGGCGUUCGGGUUGUAAAGCCGUUUUUUGGGGAAAGAAAAUCAGCAGGUUAAGACCCCGCGGUACUGACGGUACCCAAAGAAGAAGCACCGGCUAACUACGUG
rnacentral:rRNA from 1 species